UUCAGGUGUGCUUCCAAUCAGCUGCUUGUUUUGAGAGAACAUAAUUUCAACCUAAUUUUUUGCACCUGCAAGUUGGUUAUCUGGAUUAGCCUGAUACUUAACAUGUGCCCUGAGAAUUUGCUCUCAUUUUUUGUGAGGCUGUGUUGAUACCUAUGCUUGGGGUCUUGUAGGCUUUGCUUAUACAUUACAACAUUAUAGUCCCUUCUCCUUGGCUUUGCUUCUAGAAAUCUAUCAGCAAACCUGUAAUUUUUUUUGUUUUUGUUUCUUUUUCAUUGUCUACUGUUUUUCUUCUGUAAAGUGACACUGCUCAUGUCUUGAAGUUGUUGCUACUCUGACUGAUGGAAUUCUUGACUCUUCUAUUUGAAUCUGUCUCACACGUGCUGUUCCAGAUCACGUUUAUAGUGAGCAGAACCUCAGACUAAAGGAAAUAAAGCAUCAAGUUUGAGCUCUGAUGUUUCAUUGAUUUAGCCAAGUUCACAGAAGCCAAAUAUGUCUGAGUUUGUUCACACAGCUGGUGAGCUAUAAAGUCUUUCUCCCAAUAGUAAACUUCUCCCCUCCUUCCAAGAGCUGGGAGAAGGCUCUCAGAGUUUGCUGGAGCACGUGGACCUUGGGGAGGGAAAAGUGGGGUCACCUGGUCAGGCAGAGUGG